AGAAUAUAAGAACCUGAUUCUUAACUUUUAACUAAAAAACUAAGAACCGGCUCUUAAAUAAGAGUUUUAAGAGACGGUUUUUAACUUUUUUAUUUAAAAGUUAAGAGACGGAUUCUUAUAUUCC
rnacentral:pre_miRNA from 1 species